rnacentral:rRNA from 1 species
UACGAAGGGAGCUAGCGUUGUUCGGAAUCACUGGGCGUAAAGCGCACGUAGGCGGAUGUGUCAGUCAGGGGUGAAAUCCCGGAGCUCAACUUCGGAACUGCCUUUGAUACAGCACGUCUUGAGUCCGAUAGAGGUGAGUGGAAUUCCUAGUGUAGAGGUGAAAUUCGUAGAUAUUAGGAAGAACACCGGUGGCGAAGGCGGCCCACUGGAUCGGUACUGACGCUGAGGUGCGAAAGCGUGGGGAGCAAACAGG